GACGAACGCUGGCGGCGUGCUUAACACAUGCAAGUCGAACGCUUAACCCGCUUCGGUGGGGGGUGAGUGGCGAACGGGUGAGUAACACGUUGGCAACCUGCCCCCGGCUCUGGGAUAACUCUAAGAAAUUGGGGCCAAUACCGGAUGUGACCGCGGGCCGCAUGGUGUGGUGGUGUAAAGGGUUUCCGGCUGGGGAUGGUCCCGGGGCCUAUCAGCUGGUUGUUGGGGUAGUGGCCUACCAAGGGAAGGACGGGUAGCCGGCAUUAGAAGGUGUCCGGCCACCAUGGGACUGCGAAACGGCGCAGAGUGCAAGGGGAGACAGCGGUGGAGAAUAUGGGGCAACGGGCGGAAGCCUGACGAGAAGACGCCGCGUGGGGGAUGAAGGCCUACGGGUUGGAAACGUCUUUCAGAAGGGACGAAGCGCAAGUGACGGUACCUGCAGAAGAAGCACCGGCCAACUACGUG
rnacentral:rRNA from 1 species